UACGAAGGGGGCUAGCGUUGCUCGGAAUUACUGGGCGUAAAGGGCGUGUAGGCGGAUGUUUAAGUCGGGGGUGAAAGCCCGGGGCUCAACCUCGGAAUUGCCUUCGAUACUGGACAUCUAGAGUACGGGAGAGGUGAGUGGAACUCCGAGUGUAGAGGUGAAAUUCGUAGAUAUUCGGAAGAACACCAGUGGCGAAGGCGGCAUCCUGGACCGAUACUGACGCUGAGGAGCGAAAGCCAGGGGAGCAAACGGG
rnacentral:rRNA from 1 species